rnacentral:rRNA from 1 species
CCGCCGUUUAAUCCUACUUGUGCGCGUUUCGCGGCUUCCGCGUAUUCGCGUACAAUGGGCCGGCACGUUUACUUUGAACAAAUUAGAGUGCUCAAAGCAGGCUCAAACGUGGCCGGGUGUUCGCGUCAGCGGGCAUCUGGUCGUAUAGCCCUGAAUAUGGUCGCAUGGAAUAAUGGAACAAGACCUCGAUCUCGCCUCUACGCUGCUUGCAGCGCGUGACCGUAGCCCAUGUGGCUCGAUCCGUGCGCAGGUCGCCGUCUGAAGUCACGCGUUCGCGUCCGUCCCAUCGCGGUCGGGUUACGCAACGUCGUGGUAAACUUCAUUCGUUGGCCGGUUUUCGAGAUCCGAGGUAAUGAUCAACAGAGAUAGGCGUGGGCAUUCGUACCGCGACGUUAGAGGUGAAAUUCUUGGAUCGUCGCGAGACGAACCGAAGCGAAAGCAUUUGCCAAGUAUAUUCUCGUCUGAUCAAGAACGAAAGUUAGAGGUUCGAAGGCGAUCAGAUACCGCCCUAGUUCUAACCGUAAACGAUGCCAGCUAGCGAUCCGCUGAUGUUCCUCCGAUGACUCAGCGGGCAGCUUCCGGGAAACCGAAGCUUUUCGGUUCCGGGGGAAGUAUGGUUGCAAAGCUGAAACUUAAAGGAAUUGACGGAAGGGCACCACCAGGAGUGGAGCCUGCGGCUUAAUUUGACUCAACACGGGAAACCUCACCAGGCCCGGACACCGGAAAGAUUGACAGAUUGAGAGCUCUUUCUUGAUUCGGUGGGUGGUGGUGCAUGGCCGUUCUUAGUUGGUGGAGCGAUCUGUCUGGUUAAUUCCGAUAACGAACGAGACUCUGUCCUGCUAAAUAGGCGGGUUUUUCGUCGCCUGCCGGUUUGGUGCGCGGUUCUGCCGUGUGCCGGCCGGCAGUCACCGACGGAACGAUAUCCUCGAAAGCGGUCGGCUGUCGUAAGUGGCGUUGGCGUUGUUGCGGUGGUUUGCUUCGGUAGAUUGCUGCGGCAGUCGCCUGCGUUACCCGACAGUUUUGCUGCCAAUGGGCUAUCGCCGGCUGAUAAAGCUUAAACUCUUCUUAGAGGGACAGGCGGCGGACAAAACUAGCCGCACGAGACUGAGCGAUAACAGGUCUGUGAUGCCCUUAGAUGUUCUGGGCCGCACGCGCGCUACACUGAAGGAAUCAGCGUGUAAUUAUUUCCUGGGCUGAGAAGCAUUACCAGGUAAUCCGCUGAACCUCCUUCGUGAUAGGGAUCGGGGCUUGCAAUUGUUCCCCGUGAACGAGGAAUUCCCAGUAAGCGCGAGUCAUCAGCUCGCGUUGAUUACGUCCCUGCCCUUUGUACACACCGCCCGUCGCUACUACCGAUUGAACGACCGCAGUGAGGUCUUCGGAUCGAGGUACGGCGACGUUCGCGUCGAUUUGUACAUUCGAGAAGAUGACCGAACUCGGCCGUUUAGAGGAAGUAAAAGUCGUAACAAGGUUUCCGUAGGUGAACCUGCGGAAG